rnacentral:rRNA from 1 species
GACGAACGCUGGCGGCGUGCCUAAUACAUGCAAGUAGGACGCACAGUUUAUACCGUAGCUUGCUACACCAUAGACUGUGAGUUGCGAACGGGUGAGUAACGCGUAGGUAACCUGCCUAUUAGAGGGGGAUAACUAUUGGAAACGAUAGCUAAUACCGCAUAACAGUAUGUAACACAUGUUAGAUGCUUGAAAGAUGCAAUUGCAUCGCUAGUAGAUGGACCUGCGUUGUAUUAGCUAGUAGGUAGGGUAUAGGCCUACCUAGGCAACGAUACAUAGCCGACCUGAGAGGGUGAUCGGCCACACUGGGACUGAGACACGGCCCAGACUCCUACGGGAGGCAGCAGUAGGGAAUCUUCGGCAAUGGGGGGAAUCUGACCGAGCAACGCCGCGUGAGUGAAGAAGGUUUUCGGAUCGUAAAGCUCUGUUGUUAAGGAAGAACGAGUGUGAGAAUGGAAAGUUCAUACUGAGAC